CAGCUGCAAAAUGCAAAGACAAACAGAAGACCAGAACAUCAAUAACAAAAUUCUUCCGAUUAGAAUAUUCAAAACUCCUGUUGGAAACAAGAGCUAAAAUCAGAGCAGGUCUUUCAAGCAUGAAAAUUUGAAGCAAAUAUUAUGCUACAUACAUAUAGUUGCUCAAUCUGCACCAUUAAAAACAAUUAGGCCAUUGACUGAUGUUUAUAUUGUAUAAUAAGUGUAGGCAGUUCUAAAAUGAGGCUUUUGUAGUGAAGUACAUGUGGAAACAAAAAUUUAGCAAACACAAGAAGAAAUUGUAAUAUAGAUGCAUGAGCAGUAAAUAACAGGAAAGGAGCAUGGAGCUAAUUAAACAUGAGAGAAGUUUACAAGCUACAAAAGGCUUGGAAUGCAUUAAUAGAAUGCCACAUGCAGAAAUGCAAAUUUUGCGUUAAUUUGGCCCCUUGAGCUUGAUACAGGGUAGAUAAACUACAGGAAUUUGUACAGAUGAGGCCUCUUAAAUGCUCAGAUAUUUUCCUACCAUACCAUAUAAAAACGUACUUUAACUGCGCCAGCUGCUCAGAUAUAACUUCCACCCUGCUUAAAAGGCUGAAAUAAAGAGAGAUGAUCGUCCUAAAUGCCACAGAUUGGUUAAGCCAUACGAUAUAUUCAACAACUCAAAGAACAUACAAUCUAUGAGAUAUUGCAAUGAGUGCACAUAAAUCACAGGUCAACACACAUGGAAGGCCAGACAUGCAUAUCAUGAUAAGCUCCAAGUAGCAUGUGCUAUGAAGGCUCAACCAAUAAUAUAAAACAAGAACAUCCAGAAGAUAGAUGGUCUGCAGGAAUCAUGAAUGGAAAUAAAAAACACUAUUCCACUACAAUUAGAGCUAACUGCCAUAGUUUCAUACUACAAAAGUUUUCAGAUCUUGUGAAGUUAGCAAACAUGCAACAGUAAUUUAUAUUCAUUUUACUCCUGUAAUAUCUAGCACAGGAAUCAUUAUUGAUACUAGCUUGAGACUCUUAAGAGCAUAUGAGGGUUGAUGGAUCCAUCAGUGGAUGUACAAAGUAAGUAUCCUUCAAAAAUCUGCAGCAAAGAGUAUUAGUAAACAUGACCCCCAGCUUGGUGCUAUUUAGUUGGGGGGGCGCAUUCAAAUAUUUCUGGAAGCUGAAGGUAUGUUUAAAGAGCGAUGAAAUUUUUCUCACAUUAAUUUCCAAAAAAUAUACUUUCAAAUCCAGGAACGAUUUAAUCACCAUCCUGUAGGCCUGCAGAGGAAUUGGUCGAUGGCCUCACUGGAUGAUAAUUUAUGCUGGAAAACUAAUGUCAGUUGUUCAUAAGUUGACAGCAUCCCGAAUAAUUAGAGAAAUGCUAAACCUAGCAUAAAGCUUAUCAAUUUUAAACUCCAUACCUCUGAAAAAUUCAGGCACAGAGCUAUAAUCGCAUAUAAAGAUAUCCAUAAAGGAUAUAAUAUAAUCACAACACCUGCAAAACUAUAAUGAUUUUGCAAUAAUCGAUGUUUGAACCAUAUGUUAGAGGAGAUCAGUUUAAAUAUGGGGUGGUGAGUUGUGUUACUGUACUGGAGAUGCAUUAAGCGUGGAUCUCAUGAUGUGCAGCAGUUUUAUAAACUUACAAUAUAUAAAAUAUGGAGGGCUUGGGCAAUGAGAAAGUUCUUAUGCAUCAAGACUCCUGACCAUGAAAAAAUGCAAUUUUAUGAUGU